rnacentral:rRNA from 1 species
AGGGAGCUUGCUCCCGGAUGUUAGCGGCGGACGGGUGAGUAACACGUGGGUAACCUGCCUGUAAGACUGGGAUAACUCCGGGAAACCGGAGCUAAUACCGGAUAGUUCCUUGAACCGCAUGGUUCAAGGAUGAAAGACGGUUUCGGCUGUCACUUACAGAUGGACCCGCGGCGCAUUAGCUAGUUGGUGGGGUAAUGGCUCACCAAGGCGACGAUGCGUAGCCGACCUGAGAGGGUGAUCGGCCACACUGGGACUGAGACACGGCCCAGACUCCUACGGGAGGCAGCAGUAGGGAAUCUUCCGCAAUGGACGAAAGUCUGACGGAGCAACGCCGCGUGAGUGAUGAAGGUUUUCGGAUCGUAAAGCUCUGUUGUUAGGGAAGAACAAGUGCGAGAGUAACUGCUCGCACCUUGACGGUACCUAACCAGAAAGCCACGGCUAACUACGUGCCAGCAGCCGCGGUAAUACGUAGGUGGCAAGCGUUGUCCGGAAUUAUUGGGCGUAAAGGGCUCGCAGGCGGUUUCUUAAGUCUGAUGUGAAAGCCCCCGGCUCAACCGGGGAGGGUCAUUGGAAACUGGGAAACUUGAGUGCAGAAGAGGAGAGUGGAAUUCCACGUGUAGCGGUGAAAUGCGUAGAGAUGUGGAGGAACACCAGUGGCGAAAGGCGACUCUCUGGUCUGUAACUGACGCUGAGGAGCGAAAGCGUGGGGAGCGAACAGGAUUAGAUACCCUGGUAGCCACGCC